UACGUAGGGCGCAAGCGUUGUCCGGAAUUAUUGGGCGUAAAGAGCUCGUAGGUGGUUUGUUACGUCUGCUGUGAAAACCUAGGGCUUAACCCUGGGCCUGCAGUGGAUACGGGCAGGCUAGAGUUCGGCAGGGGAGACUGGAAUUCCUGGUGUAGCGGUGAAAUGCGCAGAUAUCAGGAGGAACACCGGUGGCGAAGGCGGUGGUCUGGGCCGGUACUGACGCUGAGGAGCGAAAGCGUGGGGAGCGAACAGG
rnacentral:rRNA from 1 species